UCUUGACAUCCAGAGAACUUAGCAGAGAUGCUUUGGUGCCUUCGGGAACUCUGAGACAGGUGCUGCAUGGCUGUCGUCAGCUCGUGUUGUGAAAUGUUGGGUUAAGUCCCGCAACGAGCGCAACCCUUAUCCUUUGUUGCCAGCGGUCCGGCCGGGAACUCAAAGGAGACUGCCAGUGAUAAACUGGAGGAAGGUGGGGAUGACGUCAAGUCAUCAUGGCCCUUACGAGUAGGGCUACACACGUGCUACAAUGGCGCAUACAAAGAGAAGCGACCUCGCGAGAGCAAGCGGACCUCAUAAAGUGCGUCGUAGUCCGGAUUGGAGUCUGCAACUCGACUCCAUGAAGUCGGAAUCGCUAGUAAUCGUGGAUCAGAAUGCCACGGUGAAUACGUUCCCGGGCCUUGUACACACCGCCCGUCACACCAUGGGAGUGGGUUGCAAAAGAAGUAGGUAGCUUAACCUCGGGAGGGCGCUUACCACUUUG
rnacentral:rRNA from 1 species